rnacentral:lncRNA from 1 species
AGAGUGGGUCCGUAAUCGUCCCAUGUCGUGCUGGGCAGUGUCUGCAGCCGUCUGGUGAGUCCCCGCCGCCGCCAGGGUGUGAGCGCGGUGGCUCGGGUGCAGCGUUCGGGGUCCCGGCUGAAGAGGUCCUCCUUGGUCGUGCUGGGUAGGGGGUCCCGUCACCGUCCCCCUCGUCCCUGCCUGCCGGUCUGCCCUCGAGCUUUUCCCGGGCGUCGCUCUGGCCUCGCCCCUUCUCGCCUAGGCGCCGGGUCUCUGCCUCCCCCUUCUCUCAGCACUUCUUCCCGAUCCACUGUUUUUCCACCCGGAGCGUUGGGGUUCGGCUCUGUCCCCCAGCCCUCCUCGCCUGUGACCCUUCCCCCCUCCAGGGACUGGUAGAUGACAAGAGUGUUGCGCCUGCCCUUUCAGAGCGAGAGGGCUUCCUCCGAGUCCAGAUCCUGGCCGACUGCUCCAGCUUGGAGGCGCGAGGUUAGACUUGAGGUCGCUUCCCCAGUUAGAGAACAACAAAGGCGUCCCCAGGUCCUCGCACUGCCUCAGUUUGCUGGGCUCUCUGGGCAGCAGCGAACAGGUGGCGGACUCGCUGGCGGGCUUGUGAGAUCUCCUGAAUUGACAGGUCUUCGUCCUGUCUGUUUUGAGUCCUCUGUCCCACGAGAAUGGAUGUGCACAGCUGAGGCAAAAGUGCGGAUGUUCUUCACUCUGCAUGGAUUUAAAGUUAGAGGACUCCGGGUUUCUAAACUUUUAAACGACUGUGAUGUGGUGUGGUGUUGCUGUUUUCUGCCAAGAUUCACCAAUGUAAUAUCAUUUUCCUUAUAAGCCAGACAUUGUUUCUUAGAACGUUCUUUUUAACUUCUUUUUCUCUAGUGUUGCUACCAUGGUUUAGAAAUCAUGAUCUUAGCAUUUUAAAAUUUAAGACAUCUUAUCUUACAUUUUCUGGAGGUUUAAAAUCAUCUAUAAUGUGAAAAGGGUUAGACUUUAUAAUGGUUAAUGUCCUGUUUCUCAAAUUUUGUGAUCUAAGGUAUAUCUAGAGGUACAAAUUUGGAUAAUUCUUUUUUUUUCCUCCCUUCCGGUUUUUGGGGUGUUUGUAGCAUAUCAUUGCAACCAUCAUUUUCUUUUCGUCAUUUUGUGCGUGAUCAGUCUAAAAUUCAGUAUUAAUAAUUAAAUAUGUACAGAAC